rnacentral:lncRNA from 10 species
UGAGUUGGUAAAAAUUAUAUAGUUGAGAAGCCAUUUGGAAAGGCAGAGAUGCAAGAAGACCAGAGUCAGAGGAAAGGGUAGAGAAUGGAAAAUAUCGGUUCAUGAAAUGACGGAAUUGAUCCAAGUCACUGUGGCUAAUCAAGAAGGCCCAGUGAAGGGUGAGAAAUCUGCAAAUCUUCCUUUACUGGUGUAUUUCUUCUUAUUCAGCUGACCUCAUUCUGUUCAGGUCACAUCGCCCAGGCCUCUUGAACUGUCAAGACCAGCCUGACCAACAUAUGGAAACCCCAUCUCUACUAAAAAUACAAAAUAUUAGCUGGGUGUGGUGGCACAAGCCUGUAGUCCCAGCUACGCGGGAGGCUGAAGCAGGAGAAUCACUUGAACCUGGGAGGGUGCACUGAGCCAAGAUGGCACCACUGCCCUCCAGCCUGGGUGACAGAGUCAGAAUGUCUCAAAAAAAUAAAAUAAAAGGCCAGAAUACAGACCUCUUCAGGGCCUCAGGCCAUAAGCACUUUCAGAAUCCUAAACACAAUAAAGCCUCCAGAGCCAGCACUUCACCACCUUGCAUGUAGAAGG